rnacentral:lncRNA from 1 species
UCGAGGGUUCUAAGUAGGGUAAAGAGAGAAUCUCCUCAUUCUCUCUAAUAAACCCCCCUCCUGCUGCCUCCUUCAUCUUCUCCGGCACCCUCCUCUCCCCUCUCCUUCUUGCGGCCCACCUACUCUUUUUUAAGUUUAGAUCUGAUCUUGAUGGGGCUUGGGGUUCUUUUGGGUUGUUUGGAUCCUCCAUUUUCCAUUUCGGGCUUUGUUUUCUCAUCUGGCCAACCCGCCUCCUCCUUCCUCCCUCCUCCUCCCUUUGGCCCACCACCCCUUCCACUUCCUCCGAUCACCACUGAAAUCCUUCCCAAGUUCUGUUAUAGCCUUUCUGGCUGCUGUUUCAUGGACCUGCUCGAACCUCCUUUUCCGAUCUGAGCUAUGCCAAGUCCGAGGGUUGCUAGAUUGUGGUUUUUCUUGUGCGAUUAGUAGAGGGCUUCGUUUCUGUGUGUGCUAGAGGUGGAGUCAUGAUCUGAAGUGAUGGACCUUUUGGGGUUUUUGGAUUGAGGUUCCGGAUCUUGAUGGAAAUCUCUAGGUCUUUUGGCUCUGGCGGUUACGGAUAUUUGGCUGAUCUGGGCUUUCGGCUCUCAUGGAGGCUUCCCCCUACUGAUAAUUUUUCGGAUUAACUGCCUUAUCCUCUUGAGUUAUCAUUUUAGGUGUUAUUGUUAGAUCUAUUUAUUUCAUUCAAAGGGAUUUAACUGAUUUAGGCAUCUUGCAUAUUUGAUGGCGAUUUACUCAGAUAUUGGAUGUCUUGCUAGUUAUUGUCUUUUGGGGAUAAUUUGGUCUCCUUUGUCAAUUGUCGGUGUUUGUUUGGCCGGAUUCUGGUGUCUGGUUGGAUAUGUGCUACUCCUUUUAUGCUUGCAGGCGUUCAUGGUGUUCGACGACUAUUUCGUUGCAGCAGUGAUUUUCCGGUGGCUGGUUUUCCUGUUCAAGACCUUUACCGGCUUUGGACGGUAGCUGCACUGGCCCAUCUUUGGCAGUGUGUAACUGUUCUUGGACAGCACAAUUGGGGACCACACAAAUUUGAAAUGUUGAUGCACACGGUGGUCCGAUUGUAGCACAUGUGUUUGGUGGCACUCAGUUUCCUAUGGCAAAGUGUUGCUGGUGUUGGGCUGAUGUAAGUGGGGUCCACGGUUGGCAAUUUGUGCCUUGUGGGCUGCCCCUCUUGGGCUGAUGCACUUACCUACUGAUGUAUUUCGCAGCUAGUCCAUUGUAAACAAAUGGGUCCCAGUGUGAUCCUUUUGUUUGCAGUAUAUUAUGUUUUGUUUCAAUUACAUAGCCUCAGGUUGUGAGGAAAAUGUAUUAAGGUUACAUAAUUUGUUUCCUAUUAUUUCUAGGUGUUUUAGCCCUCUUGGGAGAAGAGGACUAUGAUUUGAUCUUCAUUGUAAUAUCCAAAGGUUUUGGUUAUUUAAUAUACAAACAAAUUUAGCAAAAAAAUUAAAAUUUUGGAAAUAAUGUUUUAACGAGAACUGAAAUACAAUAUCUUAUUGAAUUAAUAGAUUUGCUCGUAAGCAAUGCUAAACUAUAAGUUUAUAUGGUUAAUGUAGCAACAUUUGCUUCAUUUCUUACAUAUAGGAUUACUUAUCUCUUGUUUAGCUUUCUUCUUUUACUUGGUCCUUUCAUAAAUCUAUAUUUAUAAGAACCAAAGCCAGUAUCCAAUACUCAAGUAGAACCUUGACUUAAAGAAAAUUUAUUUUAAUCAUGAACAAACCUGUAUACGUAACCAAAGAUUCACUAAGCUUCUUCUGGUUAGCCUCUGCAAGAUGCUUCUCACAGUUUCUUACAAAUGUCCAGGCUUAUUGCAGUGGAAGCAAACUCCUUUGUUAUCCGUAUCAGUAUUAGUAUUGUUCUUAUUAUCCUUUAUUUUUUUUCUUUUUAUUUACCUUCUUUGAAUCGUUCUUCUUUUUAGAAGAUCAUUUGGCCCCUACCAGUAAGACUUGGUCUUUUUUGGUUCGAAAGUGACUCUCAGCAUUUUUCAACAUGUUAAGCAAAUCAGCGAGACAAUCUAGCCCGUUCAUAUGAAAAAUUCACAAUAAUUGUGAGAAGGAGUCCGGGAGUGAGUGCAAGAUCAAAUCUUGGCUCACUCUCUAUCCAUGACAAAACCUGGUGUCCUAAUUAUCCAAUCAAAUUGAUCAUGUUAAGGAGUUUUUUCUAUACUGUAGUGCCUCGGUCAUUCUAGAAUUAGAAGAGCUCCUUAGAUAUCUUAUAUCUAUUAGUCCUACUUUCCUCACCAUCAACUACUUGAUGUGCAGGAAUAUAGUAAGAGCAUUCAUAGUUUCAUGUUGACGCUGAAGUUUGUUACUCAUGGAUGCAAGAAUGAUGAGCCAACUGUGCAUCAUCUUGCAACUUUUUAAAAGUAGCAAUCUUUUCCUCAAAGGCAUUGUCUGCAACCAUUGUAGGGAUAGGCAUAUUAAAGAAAUAAGAUAGUUUUUCAGUCGUGAGAACUAUUCUCAAUUUCCUUAACUAAUUCAUUUAAUUCAGUUCGAUUAAUUAGCAUCUAAUAUGCUCUGUAGUGAUAGUAAUUUAGACAUUGUAAAAUUUUAUAAAUGAACCUCACUUAUAUAGCUCGACAAAAUCUAAUUAGAGAUUUGCUAGCGAGAAUAAGAAUCCCAAUUUCAAAUGUAUAUAGUCUUGUGGUGACACAACAAACUAUAUAUAAAUAAAUAGGUAGACAACCAUUGCCAAUUACAUCAUCAUGUAACUACUUUUAUUUUGCCUCUUAGAUUAUUUUGAUCAAGUGGUGUCACAUCCGAAUCAAAAUUAUCCAAGUUAUGUGACACCCCUAAAUCCGGGUACUCCAUUCCCACAGGAAUUGGUGCUCACUAUCCAAAAUAAUCACAUCCAACUACCCAUAAUCUAGGAUAAAGACAUAAAUUAAAAAUCUUAAACAAUAAUCCUCCCCAUUAAAGAGUUACAGCAACUUAAAACAAAUUCCAGGUAAUCUAACCUUAAAUUAUUAUAUAAGUUUGCGGAAUACAUCAUAUAAUUAAAUAAGUCUUAUAACAUAGAUUCCAUUAAAUACAAUUAAACAAGUUUUCAUCAUUUGGACAUCUUGCCCUUGCCCUUGCUAAUAGACGACUUGUCAACUUUCUCAACUUUAGUUGCAAUGUAUAUGCAAGAGUGAGCAAACAAUUGCUCAAAAAUAUAAUGAUGACAAUAGAAAUAUCAUAGGAGUAAGCAAUGAAUACUGAAUAGUAAAGAAAUCGUUCUUUGAAUCAAGAUUAGAAAACAAGUUCGAGAUUUAUAUCUGAGGAUCUUAAGACCAUGAACUAUGUCCCAGAUUACUAAGUAUUUCUACCUCAACCUUUAAUAGUCAUUAGACUAUAAGGACCUUUCCUAUCGUAAUUAGGGGGAUCAACCCUUCAUACCAAGUAUUGUGAACAAACAUCUAAAUGCUAACGCGUAAAUAAUCCCCUAUAUUAGGGUUGUUCAUCUUAGUUUGACUUAAGAUUUCCGCACUAAAGAAAGUUUAGUUUGGAUUAGCUUAAUAAUGGUUCUAGAAUUUUAGAACGCUCAUCAACUAUGGACUAGUCAAUUCAAUAGAGGUUUUGUUGACUUAUGUCACACUCCAUGUUUUGAUGAUGACUCGAUUAUUUCUAAUCAAUGCUAUAUUAUUUCAGGGAAAGAUAUGGAACUUCAGAAAACGUCAAGGAAGAAGUUACAAAGCCAAGACAUCCUUGAAGAAAGAAAAGCAAAUUUGAGUCCUAGG